rnacentral:rRNA from 1 species
AGCAGCCGCGGUAAUUCCAGCUCCAAUAGCGUAUAUUAAAGUUGUUGCAGUUAAAAGCUCGUAGUUGAAUUUCGGGAUCAAUUAAUUGGUCGUGCCUCUGGUACGUACUGAUUUUAUUGGUUUCUCCCUUCUGACGAACCAUGAUGUCAUUAAUUUGAUGUCGUGGAGAAUCAGGACUGUUACUUUGAAAAAAUUAGAGUGUUUAAAGCAAGCUAACGCUUGAAUACAUUAGCAUGGAAUAAUGAAAUAGGACGUUUGAUCCUAUUUUGUUGGUUUCUAGGAUCGACGUAAUGAUUAAUAGGGAUAGUUGGGGGCAUUAGUAUUCAAUUGUCAGAGGUGAAAUUCUUGGAUUUAUUGAAGACUAACUACUGCGAAAGCAUUUGCCAAGGAUGUUUUCAUUAAUCAAGAACGAAAGUUAGGGGAUCGAAGACGAUCAGAUACCGUCGUAGUCUUAACCAUAAACUAUGCCGACUAGGGAUCGGAUGAUGUUAAUUUUUUAAUGACUCAUUCGGCGCCUUAC